rnacentral:ncRNA from 1 species
UGGGCAUGACCCUCUCCAGGGACAGUGCCAGGUGGGGAGUUUGGGGCAGUACACCUGUCAAACAGUAACACAGGUGUCCUAAGUCAAGCUCAGGGAGGACAGAAACCUCCUGUGGAGCAGAAGGGCAAAAGCUUGCUUGAUCUUGAUUUUCAGUACGAAUACAGACCAUGAAAGCCAGGCCUCACAUUCUUUCUGACCUUUUGGGUUUUAAGCAGGAGGUGUCAGAAAAGUUACUA